GACGAACGCUGGCGGCGUGCCUAAUACAUGCAAGUAGGACGCAGUUGCGAACGGGUGAGUAACGCGUAGGUAACUGCCUAUUAGAGGGGGAUAACUAUUGGAAACGAUAGCUAAUACCGCAUACUAGUAGAUGGACCUGCGUUGUAUUAGCUAGUAGGUAUGGUAAUGGCCUACCUAGGCAACGAUACAUAGCCGCGCUGGGAGGGUGGUCGGCCAAAAUGGGACUGGGACACGGCCCAAAAUCCUACGGUAGGCAGCAGUAGGGAAUCUUCGGCAAUGGGGGGAAACCUUACCGAGCAACGCCGCGUGAGUGAAGAAGGUUUUCGGAUCGUAAAGCUCUGUUGUUAAGGAAGCGGUACUUAACCAGAAAGGGACGGCUAACUACGUGCCAGCCGCCGCGGUAAUAC
rnacentral:rRNA from 1 species